AUUAAAGUUGCUGCUGUUAAAAAGCUCGUAGUUGGAUUUCUGAUGUAAUGUAUUUGUCCCGCUGUGGUUACACAUGUGAGUGACGAAUUACAUUCAUCUGUCUUGUGUUUUUAUUAGUAGAUUGUGAAAGCAAUUUAUUAAUGAUACACAUCUUUUACUUUGAACAAAUUAGAGUGUUUCAAGCAGGCGUCAAGCCCUGAAUACAUGAGCAUGGAAUAAUCAUCGAGGACUUUUAGUUCUUUGUUGGUUGGUUCUAGAACUAUAGUAAUGAUGGAUAGGGAUAGUUGGGGGUGCUAGUAUUCCAAGGCCAGAGGUGAAAUUCUUGGAUUCUUGGAAGACUCACUUAGGCGAAAGCAUUCACCAAGGAUGUCUUCAUUAAUCAAGAACGAAAGUUGGGGGAUCGAAGACGAUCAGAUACCGUCGUAGUCUCAACCAUAAACUAUGCCGACUAGGGAUGAGAUAAUGUUGAAUUUUCGACUUGUUUCGCACCUCAUGAGGAAUCAAAGUCUUUGGGUUCAUGGGGAAGUAUGGUCGCAAGGCUGAAACUUAAAGGAAUUGACGGAAGGGCACCACCAGGAGUGGAGCCUGCGGCUUAAUUUGACCCAACACGGGAAAACUUACCAGGUCCGGACAUAGUGAGGAUUGACAGGUUGAAGACCUUUCUUAAUUCUGUGGGUGGUGGUGCAUGGCCGUUCUUAGUUGGUGGAGUGAUUUGUCUGGUUAAUUCCGUUAACGAACGAGACCUCGACCUGCUAAAUAGUUUGUUAAAUGAUUCGUUAUUUACACAAACUUCUUAGAGGAACUGCUGCCGUUCUAGGCAGAGGAAGUACGAGGCAAUAACAGGUCUGUGAUGCCCUUAGAUGUUCUGGGCCGCACGCGCGCUACACUGAUAGAUUCAUCGAGUAUUUUCAUCCUUAACUGUUAAGUUUGGGUAAUCUUUGAAUGUCUAUCGUGCUGGGGAUAGAUGAUUGUAAUUUUUCAUCUUCAACGAGGAAUUCCUAGUAAACGCAAGUCAUCAACUUGCAUUGAUUACGUCCCUGCCCUUUGUACACACCGCCCGUCGCUACUACCGAUUGAAUGGAUUAGUGAGCUUCAAGGAUUGAUGUAUGUUUGGUUCUCCAAAUAUAUGUUAAGAAUUGAAUCAAACUUGCUCAUUUAUA
rnacentral:rRNA from 1 species